rnacentral:rRNA from 1 species
AUACGUAGGUGGCGAGCGUUAUCCGGAAUUACUGGGUGUAAAGGGCGCGCAGGCGGGGAGACAAGUCAGAUGUGAAAUACCGGUGCUUAACACCGGGGCUGCAACUGAAACUGUUUUUCUUGAGUGUCGGAGAGGGAAGCGGAAUUCCCAGUGUAGCGGUGAAAUGCGUAGAUAUUGGGAGGAACACCAGUGGCGAAGGCGGCUUUCUGGACGACAACUGACGCUGAGGCGCGAAAGCGUGGGGAGCAAACAGGAUUAGAUACCCUGGUAGUCCACGCCGUAAACGAUGGAUACUAGGUGUAGGAGGUAUCGACCCCUUCUGUGCCGGAGUUAACACAAUAAGUAUCCCACCUGGGGAGUACGGCCGCAAGGUUGAA